rnacentral:lncRNA from 1 species
UUGAGCCUUGUUUGUGGUGGUUAGUGAUGAAGUGUUACCCGUCGGCGAUGGCGUUUUGGGGUUUGAGCAGUGGUUGGGUGAUGGUUCGUUCUCGGUGAGGUCGGCUUCUCUGUCAGGGCGUGUUUUUUCCCGCCAGUGGGGAUUAGAGAAGCUGUCUGUUGAUUCGAGGGGUUUUGAGUCUGGUUCGGGUGUCGCGUCAAGUUGGUUGGUUGAUCUUUGUCUCUGGCUCCUCGUAGUUUGUGGUUUAGUAUUUAGCUGUUCAAUUUCUUUUAGAAUUGAUGAGUGUGUUUGUGGCUGGUCUGUUCGGUUAAUGCUCGUUUGAGAUCUUUCAGUGUUGUUGCUCUGUUUCUUCUGGUCGUUCUAUGCUUGGCUGAGACUGAAGGCUUUAAACCUUAU